AACGGCGAGUGAAGCGGCAAAAGCUCAAAUUUGAAAUCUGGCUCCUUUGGGGCCCGAGUUGUAAUUUGCAGAGGAUGCUUCGGGCGUGGCCGCGGUCUAAGUCCCCUGGAACGGGGCGUCGCAGAGGGUGAGAAUCCCGUCUUCGGCCGGCCGGCUUCGCCCAUGUGAAGCUCCUUCGACGAGUCGAGUUGUUUGGGAAUGCAGCUCUAAAUGGGUGGUAAAUUUCAUCUAAAGCUAAAUAUUGGUCGGAGACCGAUAGCGCACAAGUAGAGUGAUCGAAAGAUGAAAAGCACUUUGAAAAGAGAGUUAAACAGCAUGUGAAAUUGUUGAAAGGGAAGCGCUUGCGACCAGAGUCGGCCGUGGGGGUUCAGCGGGCAUUCGUUGCCCGUGCACUCCCCCACGGGCGGGCCAGCGUCGGUUUCGACGGCCGGUCAAAGGCCCCCGGAAUGUGUCGCCUCUCGGGGCGUCUUAUAGCCGGGGGUGCAAUGCGGCCAGUCGGGACCGAGGAACGCGCUUCGGCACGGACGCUGGCUUAAUGGUCGUAAGCGACCCGUCUUGAAACACGGACCAAGGAGUCUAACAUCCACGCGAGUGUUCGGGUGUCAAACCCGUCCGCGCAGUGAAAGCGAACGGAGGUGGGAACCCUUAAGGGUGCACCAUCGACCGAUCCUGAAGUCUUCGGAUGGAUUUGAGUAAGAGCGUGGCUGUUGGGACCCGAAAGAUGGUGAACUAUGCCUGAAUAGGGUGAAGCCAGAGGAAACUCUGGUGGAGGCUCGCAGCGGUUACUGACGUGCAAAUCGAUACGUCGAAUUU
rnacentral:rRNA from 1 species